CCCCAGACUCCUACGGGAGGCAGCAGUGGGGAAUAUUGCACAAUGGGGGAAACCCUGAUGCAGCGACGCCGCGUGAGCGAUGAAGUAUUUCGGUAUGUAAAGCUCUAUCAGCAGGGAAGAAGAUGACGGUACCUGACUAAGAAGCCCCGGCUAACUACGUGCCAGCAGCCGCGGUAAUACGUAGGGGGCAAGCGUUAUCCGGAUUUACUGGGUGUAAAGGGGGCGCAGACGGCGAUGCAAGCCAGGAGUGAAAGCCCGGGGCCCAACCCCGGGACUGCUCUUGGAACUGCGUGGCUGGAGUGCAGGAGGGGCAGGCGGAAUUCCUGGUGUAGCGGUGAAAUGCGUAGAUAUCAGGACGAACACCGGUGGCGAAGGCGGCCUGCUGGACUGCAACUGACGUUGAGGCUCGAAAGCGUGGGGAGCAAACAGGAUUAGAUACCCCAGUAAUG
rnacentral:rRNA from 1 species